CCUGUGAUGAGACUAAGGCGAAUGCGACUCGUGCCCUCGUCCUUGGCCAGCCCCCCACACACACACAUUGUGGGCGGGGGGGGGGGCGCACCAGUGGCAUCUGAAAUCUUAGCGGGGGUCCCCGAGACCUGGCCCCGCGCUGUAAGGCAGAUGGAGAGCACCCGGCCUCCCCUCCGUGUCCGCGGCUGCCCCCAGUUCCCGGCAGCUGCCUGCAAGUGGGGGGCCCACAGGUAAGGACCAAGGUGGGACUGGGCAGGAGCCAUGUGAGCGCAUCCUUGGAUCUGACC